GUCAAGUCAGGUGGCGAAGGAAUCAAGAUGUCGCUCGAAGACCCGUUUUUCGUCGUUAAAGGGGAGGUCCAGAAGGCUUUGUCCCGUGCAAGGGGGUUGUUUGAUCGAUGGGAGGAACUGUUGCAAGAGGGGACACAGGUGAGCCGGGAUGAGUUGGACUGGAACACCAACGAGCUGAGAAACUGUCUACGGGCCAUAGACUGGGACCUGGAGGACCUCAGCGAGACCAUCAGUAUUGUGGAGUCCAACCCGGGGAAGUUCCGCCUCGGGGAGAAUGAGCUGCAGGAACGGAGAGACUUUGUGGAAAGGACCCGGCUUGCCGUGCAGGAGAUGAAGGAGCAGUUGUCCAGCCCCUCAGCUGUGGCCCAGGCUGAGAAGAAGAACAAACAGGCUCUCCAGGCGCCCUCAGGCCAGGACAGGUCUACAGGACUGGAGCCUCACUUGGUGUCCACCAACACCCGAUACAUACAGGAGCAACAGGAGCAACAACAGCUGAUUGUGCAGGAGCAGGAUGAGCAGCUGGAGCUGGUGUCGGGCAGUAUCAGAGUGCUUAAGGACAUGUCUGGACGCAUCGGGGACGAGCUUGAUGAACAGGCUGUAAUCUUGGGGGAGUUUGGAGAUGAGAUGGAGCAGACCUCAACCCGAAUGGACUCUGUUCUGAAGAAACUGGAGAAGGUCUCUCACAUGACCAGCAGUCGGAGACAGUGGUGUGCCAUCGGCGUGCUGGUAGCCAUCAUGAUCGUGGUGCUCAUCCUCAUCUUUACUCUCUGAUACCUCCUGCCUCUACUCCACGUGCACCCAUGCCUCCCUGGACGGCAGGGAGAACAGCUGGACCCGUGGUCAGAUGGAUGGAUGGACGGAUGAACAAACGGAGAGACGAAACCUCUCCUCCCUCCCUCUCUCCCUCCAAUACCUUCCUCCCCUGAAGAGAAGCGAACUCAGAGACACGCGGGGAGAAACUCCUCCUCCAUGCUUUACUGAUACUGCUGUUUGGUACUCUCGUCUUCAUCCACGUGAACAGGAAGGAUGAACCGUGUUACGUGAAGCAGGACUCCUGUCGUGCAUGUCGGAAACCUAACCCUGGUCGGUUUGGGCCGACAGUUGGAGAACCACUGCUAUGACUGCUCAAAGUGACUCCAUUACCAGUCGUCAGUAUUUGGUUUGGCUUCAGCUCUGUCCCUUCACGGUAAAUGUAAACAGAAAUGGAAAUCAACACAAUUUCUCAACACAACCCCUGUCAUUUAAAAAAAAAUAAUUUUUUGGCCUCUAUUUUUUAUUUCACCCACUCUUCUCGCCACUUUGGCAGGUUACCAACCGUCAGUUGGAGAUUUAUUCUGUUCUUCAGUUUUGUGGUCUGGUGCAGUAUUGACAAUAGCAGGUGAAUUUUGGGACGUGUCGACCACUUUUUCGGCUGACUGACAAAAACAACGGUUUUCCGAACUCGAUUUUUGUGGUGUACAUUUUCAACAUUUGCUGCUUUGGGCCCUUUUCAUACCUAACAGUGUAAAUAUCUUGCUGUCAGAACACACAUAAAGAGUGCUGAUGGUAACUCGUAUAGUAUUUGUUUAUCACUCGGUCCUGUGUAAUCCUGCUCAGAGUACAAGAACAUGCAGAACAUGGACGUCCCUCUACUGGACACGAGUAUCUGUUUUGUAACCUACACUUGUUAUCACACUAAAACCGUGCAUUCACACUGAGUACGCUUUUAGACCUGACAAAUGCAUAUUUUCUUACCGAAUAUACUCAUGAAUUUAAAAGGUACAAUGGGGUCUAAUUAUUGUCCCUCGCUCUGCACCAGAUGAGUCCUAUAGGAAAACCUCUGGAUUGCACUUCUGUAGUUUUUCGGUGACAGUUGAUGUUUAAGUUUCUGUAAAGAACUCCAAUGCCUUUUGUAAAGCGGUUGAAAGUCUGCACUAUAAAAUGUUGUUGGACCUUCCUGGGAAAAUCCAUAUGUCACUUUUAAUACAUCUCAU